rnacentral:rRNA from 1 species
AUUGAACGCUGGCGGCAUGCCUUACACAUGCAAGUCGAACGGCAGCACGGGAGCAAUCCUGGUGGCGAGUGGCGAACGGGUGAGUAAUGUAUCGGAACGUGCCCAGUCGUGGGGGAUAACGCAGCGAAAGCUGUGCUAAUACCGCAUACGAUCUAUGGAUGAAAGCGGGGGAUCGCAAGACCUCGCGCGAUUGGAGCGGCCGAUAUCAGAUUAGGUAGUUGGUGGGGUAAAGGCCCACCAAGCCGACGAUCUGUAGCUGGUCUGAGAGGACGACCAGCCACACUGGGACUGAGACACGGCCCAGACUCCUACGGGAGGCAGCAGUGGGGAAUUUUGGACAAUGGGCGCAAGCCUGAUCCAGCAAUGCCGCGUGCAGGAUGAAGGCCUUCGGGUUGUAAACUGCUUUUGUACGGAGCGAAACGGCUUCCACUAAUACUGGGGGCUAAUGACGGUACCGUAAGAAUAAGCACCGGCUAACUACGUGCCAGCAGCCGCAGUAAAAC